ensembl:lncRNA
GGGUGCAACUAUAGUUUUCCUUCACAGAAAAGACAUUAGUGAAACACAUUCAGCAGAAAGUAGCUUCAUUUUCAUCAGAUGACAGAAGUGCAAAGCUAUUUGGCUCGUAGCCACACAAGUAAAAAAAGGAGGCCAAAUGUCUGAAGUUUGAGGUGCCCUUAAUCUGUCUGUCUCAGUGUCUGUGUGUGUUCGCACCAUGCAGACUGCUCUCCACUCAUCAAAUCGGGCCACACACACAAUUAUAGGCUUUUCCAUAGCUUACGUCUUUAAAAUCGUCCAGAGAGAGGAACUGAAUGGAGAGCUUUCAUACCCGAGGCCUCGACAACAGCUCACACUGCUCUAAACAGGCUACUAUUGCCCAAUGAUUGGGGGGGAAACACAUGGGUAGAUCGGAGAGAUUAAUUGCAAGGUCUUCUCUGUUAUAAUGGGCUGCGUUCAGGAGAAAAAGUGUUCAACUCCAUUUCACAGCAGUGGCGGGUCUUGGAAAGCAAGUCACUACAAGGGUUGACUUUAAUACUGUGGCAUAUUGGGUUCAGGGAAGCUAUGGAGGUAAUAAUAGAAUGCAGCCAAGAAAAGGAUGGGAUGUGUCAUGGCCUUACCAAGAGGGCAGUGUGCAAUAGAGCUGAACACAUUAUUGAAUAUCUUCACAAUGCAGACCAAUGAAUGACAGUCACUGUUGGCAAAAAAAAACAACAUCUGUUGCUUACAGGUAACGUCAGUCAUAUAGAUACCAGGCCUAAUCAGAACCAGAUGAGCAAGUCGAUUCAUCACAGAAGAACACUGUAUAAAGAUACUGAUCUGAAAAUAAGAUAAGAGAGACGGAGGUUAAUGUAACAAUCAUAUAAGAACGAGAGUGUGUGUGCAUUUACACGCAUGUAUCCGUCCAUGUUUGUGUGUGGAGUGUGUCUCUCCCUUAGGGUCUCUGAAGGGCUCAUCCGUCUCCCCCUCCUCUCCUCAGCGUGUUGAGCUGAGCUGCCAUACUGAGCAGAGGGCCUCAGAGGGGAGGUGGAGAUGAUAGGGCUUAAUUAAUCCUGAUUAAAUAUGGGGCUGUAAUUUCAAGGAACAGCUCUCUCCCAGGUCUCCUGAUCCCUCAGAGGUCAGAGAGGCAGGAGGACUGUAGUUUAGAGGAACAGCUCUCUCCCAGGUCUCCUGAUCCCUCAGAGGUCAGAGAGGCAGGAGGACUGUAGUUUAGAGGAACAGCUCUCUCCCAGGGCUCCUGAUCCCUCAGAGGUCUGAGAGGCAGGAUGGCUGUAGUUUAGAGGAACAGCUCUCUCCCAGGUCUCCUGAUCCCUCAGAGGUCUGAGAGGCAGGAUGGCUGUAGUUUAGAGGAACAGCUCUCUCCCAGGUGUCCUGAUCCCUCAGAGGUCUGAGAGGCAGGAUGGCUGUAGUUUAGAGGAACAGCUCUCUCCCAGGUGUCCUGAUCCCUCAGAGGUCUGAGUGGCAGGAGGACUGUAGUUUAGAGGAACAGCUCUCUGAGGGCUCCUGAUAACUCAUAUAGAGUUCUAAAAGGCAGGAGGGCUGUAGUUUAGAGGAACAGCUCUCUGAGGGCUCCUGAUAACUCAUAUAGAGUUCUAAAAGGCAGGAGGGCUGUAGUUUAGAGGAACAGCUCUCUGAGGGCUCCUGAUAACUCAUAUAGAGUUCUAAAAGGCAGGAGGACUCAAAACACCUGGGUCUGACUACUGUAUAUUGAAAUGGCACUAUACUUUUAUUCAACAAUUUAAAACAUUUUAAAGAUGCACUAUGCAGAUAUCACCCCACCAUUUCCUGGUUUCUAAAAGUCUAAUAGUUUGCCUAAUUUCAGUUUGUGACAAAACAAGCAAGUAUAAUGUAGAGAAUCAUUGUACCAUUUCAACCGCUAUGAAAUAUAUUUUCCAUAACCCAAAAUAUUGUUUUUACAGCUGGUGUACAAAACCGAAAGUAAAAUAUGCAAAAACGACACUUAAGAACGGGAACCAUAGAAAUAGCACACAUAGACCAGAUACAGUAUACCGCUUCUUAGACUUGAUUUAAAUGAGAAUGACUGAUCUAUAACACACGUCUAUGUAGAUUUGGUCAGGUUGCCCAAAACGUUACAUAUUGCAGCUUUAAGGCUUUGAAUGUUUGUGUGCACCCAAGAUGGAGGCCAGACAGACAGGAUGAAGGCACAGGGACUGGAGCUGGUUCAGGUUAGCAGGACAGGAGACUUU